rnacentral:tRNA from 1 species
GGUUUCAUUGGCUUUGCAUAUCGGUCUUGAAAACCGUCGACUGUAACAGGUCCAUGAGUUCGAAUCCCAUCGCCUCCGCCA